rnacentral:rRNA from 1 species
GACGAACGCUGGCGGCGUGCUUAACACAUGCAAGUCGAGCGAGUUGAUUCCCUUCGGGGAUGAAGCUAGCGGCGGACGGGUGAGUAACACGUGGGCAACCUGCCUUAUAGAGGGGGAUAGCCUUCCGAAAGGAAGAUUAAUACCGCAUAACAUCAGAUUAUCGCAUGGUAGACUGAUCAAAGGAGCAAUCCGCUAUAAGAUGGGCCCGCGUCGCAUUAGCUAGUUGGUGAGGUAACGGCUCACCAAGGCGACGAUGCGUAGCCGACCUGAGAGGGUGAUCGGCCACAUUGGGACUGAGACACGGCCCAGACUCCUACGGGAGGCAGCAGUGGGGAAUAUUGCACAAUGGGGGAAACCCUGAUGCAGCAACGCCGCGUGAGUGAUGAAGGCCUUCGGGCUGUAAAGCUCUUUGAUCAGGGACGAUAAUGACGGUACCUGAAGAACAAGCCACGGCUAACUACGUGCCAGCCGCCGCGGUAAAAC